rnacentral:rRNA from 1 species
CCUACGGGAGGCAGCAGUAGGGAAUAUUGCUCAAUGGGGGAAACCCUGAAGCAGCAACGCCGCGUGGAGGAUGAAGGUUUUCGGAUUGUAAACUCCUUUUGUUAGAGAAGAGAAUGACGGUAUCUAACGAAUAAGCACCGGCUAACUCCGUGCCAGCAGCCGCGGUAAUACGGAGGGUGCAAGCGUUAAUCGGAAUAACUGGGCGUAAAGAGCGCGUAGGCGGGAUAGCAAGUCAGAUGUGAAAUCCUAUGGCUUAACCAUAGAACUGCAUUUGAAACGUUUAUUCUAGAGUAUGGGAGAGUUAGGUGGAAUUCUUGUUGUAGUGGUCAAUUCCGUAGAGAUCAAGCGGAAUACUCAUUGCGAAGGCGACCUGCUAGAACAUAACUGCCGCUGAUGCGCGAAAGCGUGGGGAGCAAACAGGAUUAGAUACCCUUGUAGUC